CAAACUGAUUAGUCAUCGGAAUUGGCGGCUGAUUAUACAGUUUGCAUACAUAUACAUACAUAAAUAUACAUAUAAAUAUAUACAUAUGUAAUGAGUUGACUUGACUGGACGUCUUUUUGUUAAUUCAAUUUAAAGCGAAAUUGAAACGGGAAAACAAAAUACAACACAACACAUAAAAACAGACUGAUAGACGACAAGAGAGGAAGAGAGAGAAUGAGUGCAAAGUGUAGCCAAAGCUCGCACGUAUGUACAUCUAACAAGUGUGCAAACAGAAAUAAAAAGUAGAGCAAAAUAGCGCUUAAAUAAAAUAGAGCAACUGUAAACGCCUAACAAAGGUUAUCGAUGAGCCAAGCAGAAUGGCGGCUCUGCCUUGGACGGACGCCUGACUCUGCUGAUUGCCUUAUCAAACAGUUCUUCUGCCGACGAACAAUGAAAACAGUUCAAGAAAGAAACGGCGCGCGCAGAGGCGGGGGCGUUGCACCGACUCUUUUUUUUGCCGAUGACAAAGCGCUUUUCCAAUUUGUUCUAGACUCACCUGAGAUUAUCGCACCAAUAGGAGGGGCCCCAGGUGCAUUUACUGGCACCAACCAGCGGCUGCUCAGCGAUUGGCGUUGAUGAAACACAGACGCCUAAAAUAACAAAAUACACAAUGGCAAAUUUAAUAAAAAAAAUAUAUAUACAUACAUAUGUAUAUAUGUAUAUAUUUCAAAUCUA